rfam:Stegodyphus mimosarum contig90877, whole genome shotgun sequence.
GCCUUCGUGGUGUAAUGGUCAGUACACUUGGCGCGUAUACGAGAGGUCCGUGGUUCGAGUCCCGGCAAGGGCA